rnacentral:rRNA from 1 species
AUGGAAAAAGCUUUGAGAGUACUUGAUGACAUGGCAUCCGCUGGCAUUGAGCCUAAUGUUGUUACAUAUGGUACACUUGUUGACGGCUACUGUAGAAGUGGAAGGAUUGAUGAUGGGUUGAUGCUAUUCAGAGAAAUGUUGCAUAAGAGAGUUGAACCUACAACUGUUACCUAUAACAUCAUACUGAAUGGGUUAUUUCAUGCUGGGAGAACGGUUGCUGCAAAGAUGUUCCAUGAGAUGAUCAAAAGUGGAAUAACAGUGAGCAUUUCCACAUACAUGAUAAUCCAUGGAGGACUUUGCAGGAAUAGUCAUGCUGACGAAGCGAUCACCCUGUUCCAGAAAUUAGGAGCAAUGGAUGUGAAGUUGGAUGUUACAAUACUCAAUACCAUGAUCAAUGCAAUGUUCAAGGUUCAGAGAAGAGAAGAAGCUAACGAUUUGUUUGCUGCAAUAUCUGCCAGUGGAUUGGUACCUAAUGCUUCUACUUAUGGCAAAAAUAUACAAAAUCUUCUAGAAGAAGGAUCAUUGGAAGAAGCUGACGAUAUGUUUUCAUCAAUGGAGAAGAGUGGUUGUGCUCCCAGUUCUUGUCUUUUAAAUUUUAUCAUCAGAACGUUAUUGAAAAAGGGGGAGAUAGUAAAGGCUGGAAAUUAUCUCUACUCAUAUAAAAAGCACACU